rnacentral:rRNA from 1 species
UACGAAGGGGGCUAGCGUUAUUCGGAAUUACUGGGCGUAAAGGACGCGUAGGCGGAAAGUUAAGUUAGAGGUGAAAGCCCAGGGCUCAACCUUGGAAUUGCCUUUAAUACUGGCUUUCUAGAGUGUGCGAGAGGAUAGUGGAAUACCUAGUGUAGAGGUGGAAUUCGUAGAUAUUAGGUAGAACAUCAAUGGCGAAGGCAGCUAUCUGGCGCAUUACUGACGCUGAGGCGUGAAAGCGUGGGGAGCAAACAGG